GUGGGGAAUCUUGCGCAAUGGGCGAAAGCCUGACGCAGCCAUGCCGCGUGAAUGAUGAAGGUCUUAGGAUUGUAAAAUUCUUUCACCGGGGACGAUAAUGACGGUACCCUGAGAAGAAGCUCCGGCUAACUUCGUGCCAGCAGCCGCGGUAAUACGAAGGGGGCUAGCGUUGCUCGGAAUUACUGGGCGUAAAGGGCGCGUAGGCGGACAGCUUAGUCAGAGGUGAAAGCCCAGGGCUCAACCUUGGAAUGGCCUUUGAUACUGGCUUUCUUGAGUUUGGGAGAGGUGAGUGGAACUCCGAGUGUAGAGGUGAAAUUCGUAGAUAUUCGGAAGAACACCAGUGGCGAAGGCGACUCACUGGCCCAAUACUGACGCUGAGGCGCGAAAGCGUGGGGAGCAAACAGGAUUAGAAACCCUUGUAGUCC
rnacentral:rRNA from 1 species